GCCCGGGUGGCUCAGUGGUUGAGCGUCUGCCUCCAGCUCAGGGCGUGAUCCUGGAGUCCUGGGAUCGAGUCCCACAUCGGGCU
rfam:Canis lupus familiaris chromosome 4, whole genome shotgun sequence.